UCGGCCCGUCAUAGCCUUCAUUUAGCCCAAAAAUAGACGUUGAAAAUUGGGCUUUGUUUGGUCCGUCCGAUUUGGUCCAAAUUUAGCCCAAACAUAGACGUUGAAAAUUGGUCUUUGUUUGGUCCGUCUGAUUUGGUCAAAAUUUAGCCCGAAAAUAGACGUUGAAAACUGGUCUCUAUUUGGUCCGUUUGGUUUGGUCCAAAUUUAGCCCAAAAGACUUUGAAAAAUGUCGCCUCCUUUGUUUGGUCCGUCUGAGGGCAGCGCCAGAUCAUUUUUAACAGGUGCUGAAGGGGUGCUAUCAUUGACAGGGGAGCUUCACAAUUAUAUAAAAAGGCUACUUUUAAUAAAUGAGCAAAACUUAGCCACUCAAUAUAUCAUAUUCAAUUAUUGUAAUUAUCACAAUUCAGGUUUUAAUUUAAAUUAAAAUAAGCACAACAUUCAACAUUCAAUCAAAUAUUCUUAUGUAGCCUAUUAAUAAUAAUGUAAUUUCCACACAAUAUCUUGUUAUUUCGACAUAAUAUGUGUGCGUGCAACAAGCAAGAUGUGCAUUUGUAAAUCCGGUGACACGCGUGCAUUGAUUUUUAUUGCAUUUUAUUUUUAUUAAUAAACUGUUUUCUGUGUCCGCUGCAAAAGAUGAAGUUGAAGAUCUCCAUCUCCGCAGCGAACGCGCCUUGAGAGAGAAAUGCACAAAAUGAUUACAUAAUCAGAGAGUACCUAUUUCUUUUCGUUUUGAAUUGUUUUGUUUAAAGAUAUUUCCAGCUCUCUAUAGAUAUGUCUCAUGUCUUUGAGACAUGCUGAGUUGUGGUAAGUUGAAAGGUAUUUUUUGUGCAUAGUAAAACAUAUCUGCAACAUUUAUCAAGUUCACGGAUAAUUGUGCGUGCAUUUAUUAAUCGUUAUGAUAGGCCUAAAAUCAUAAUAAAGGCUGUGUACAAAAAAUCAGAUGAGCCCAGAAUAUGAAUGCAACGCGUUUAAUUAGCCUACACAUUAAGCAUUUUCCUCCAAACCAGAACGCUUGGCCUGCGGACUUGAAUGUAUUUAAAAAAUACAUAGAAUAGUUUAUAAUUGUUCCUCAUGUUUCAUCUGUAAUCUGUGUAGGCUAUAUGAGGAAAUAUGUGCAUGCCUUAUGUAGGUUUUAAUCAAUGUUUUUGCAAAAAAAAAAAAAAAAAAAAAACAAUCUACAGCACGUUUACCAUUUUUUAAAGCUAUAUUAUAUUAUUAGACUAUUAGCCUACAUGACUUAAAACAUUGUUUUAUAGUUUGACGAUGGCCACAGGCCUACUAUCCACUUAAUAAUGCAUCAAGUUUCAGCUGAUUGUCAAAUAAUUCACUCCAUCUCAAUGCUGCGUAACUCUGCGUGUUUUAAUCAAUGGGCGCACGCGCUGAACAUUCGAGCCGCAUUUGAACUGGAGCAGACAACGUUACCAUGGAAACCGGGCGGUAGCUCAACUGACAACGAUCAGCACAGCUCCAUCUCUCGCUGUUGUUUUCACUACUUUCAGUAUUGUUAGCUCCAACCCCAAUUAAUCAGACCUGAGCAGCUGACUAAACAUCACCAGAAACUCUGCAGAACACUGGCCCUGGUCUGGUCUGGAUGCCACUGUUGCUAAAGCAUUUCAAGUAAAAACUUAAGUCGUGGCUUAAUAAUCCGGGGUUGGGAUGGUGGAAGGAGCAGAAGAACCAGAAGAUCGGAGAUCAGGAAGAUAUCUGUUGGUGCCUCUGAGGGAACUGAUUUAAUGU